AGAUGAAGGGCUGGCCUGUGUAUAUUUAGUAUAUCAGGCCUAUAAUUAUAUUAUACUGUCUGUUCACAAUGAAGUGUGUUCCUUUUCAGGACACUUUGCAAAGGGAUCAUCUUUGACUGGAUCUUCAGGCUUUUCUCAUCUCUAGCUAUUGUCAUCCAGUUCAGACCUAUCCCCUUGAACUUCUUUGCAAGACUUGAAAGACAAAGUGGCAGAAGAACACUUUCGGACUUCCAAAUUAAAAGUUGUCUACGAAGUUGGUGUCUGAGCUGCGAGAUGGUGGGUUAGUGAUCCUGGGAAUGGGAAAGAAAAGUUCAGGAUGCGGCUGCCUUCUCUUCUGAGUCUACUGAAAGUGCUCUCCAAGCAAUGCGGAAAUUCUCUCUGAUGAAAGAGUCUUUUAUGGGAAGAACUGUUAAAUUAAAGCCAACCUCCUGCUCAAAGCAGUCAGCUAUGAGGAAGUCAGACCAGAUUACUAGAGGCUUUUUCCAGUUUGGUCUUCCACAUCCUCCAAGGACAAGGACUGCGCAACCUCUUUGGGCAACAUGUUCCAUUGCUUGACCAUCAUCAUGGUUUUAUAAGGAUUUACCACCUUCACGCUCUCUUUUUUUCCAAGAGUGAAAGAAAAUUGUUUCCUUAGGAACAACAGUGUCCAUGCAAAACCACCAGCUGACGGUGUCUGUGUACUUUGGAAAUAUUAACCUUUGUUAACAAAUGGUUGUGACUUUAGUCUUUCAACUACCUCGCCCUAAUCUUUAAAAAGGAGUGAUAAUGCUUACUUGCUUUGAGUAUUUUGAGAACCUUUGGUGAAAUCUGUAUUUAUGUUAAUUAAGGUUAAUCUCUUACAAAUAAGGAUAUUUUACUCUUGCAUAAACAAAAAAAGUCCUGCUAUCACUUUUUACUUUUGAAAUAUUAAAAAGUGACAAAGUAGUAACUCAAGGACUAAUUUAAUAAGAAAAUACAACUCCUAUUAUCUCUUACUGAAUUAAAGAACAUUGAAACUAUCAAAAAGAUUCAUCUACUAUGUUGAAAAAGGCCUUAUACAUUCAUCCCAUUGAAAAGAAUUGUGCCAUUGAAUUUCAUGGCUUUCAAAUAAGUUCAUUCUGGAAAUAAAAUUAAGUAUCAGGAUGCA
rnacentral:lncRNA from 1 species